AUCGAACGCUAGCGGGAUGCCUUAUACAUGCAAGUCGAACGGAGUGGCGAACGGGUGAGUAAUGUAUCGGAACGUGCCCAGUAGCGGGGGAUAACUACGCGAAAGCGUAGCUAAUACCGCAUACUAUUGGAGCGGCAGAUAUCGUAUUAGCUAGUUGUGGGGGUAACGGCUCACCAAGGCGACGAUCAGUAGCUGGUUUGAGAGGCCGACCAGCCACACUGGGACUGAGACACGGCCCAGGCUCCUACGGGAGGCAGCAGUGGGGAAUUUUGGCCAUUGGGGGAAACCCUGAACCAGCCAUCCCGCGUGUGCAAUGAAGGCCUUCGGGUUGUAAAGCACGUUUGGCAGGAAAGCGGUACCUGCAGAAUAAGCACCGGCUAACUACGUGCCAGCCGCCGCGGUAAUAC
rnacentral:rRNA from 1 species